GUGAGGAUUUCAGGAAGGAAAACGACAUGUACCACUCGUUUGCAGCUUUGGAUAUCACAGCAUGCCCUGAAGAUCAGAUAAUUUGCUGUAAUCAAAUUGAUAGUGAAGAUGCUGAUAACGAGAAUCAGGAUGAAGCAGUUGUUGCAAUGAUUGAAGAGACAAACUCAGGAGAUGAAGCUGCUAAUAGUGAUGAUUCAACUUGGAAUUGUGAUUCUCCAAGGGUUAUGAGAGUUAAAACACUAAACAUUAGCUCCCCCAUUUUAGCAGCAAAG
rnacentral:misc_RNA from 1 species